rnacentral:rRNA from 1 species
UACGAAGGGGGCUAGCGUUGCUCGGAAUCACUGGGCGUAAAGCGCACGUAGGCGGCUUCUCAAGUCAGGGGUGAAAUCCUGGAGCUCAACUCCAGAACUGCCUUUGAUACUGAGAGGCUCGAGUCCGGGAGAGGUGAGUGGAACUGCGAGUGUAGAGGUGAAAUUCGUAGAUAUUCGCAAGAACACCGGUGGCGAAGGCGGCCAACUGGACCAUUACUGACGCUGAGGCGCGAAAGCGUGGGGAGCAAACAGG